GACGAACGCUGGCGGCGUGCUUAACACAUGCAAGUCGAGCGGAGCGGCGAACGGGUGAGUAAAGCGUGAGUAACUGCCCCCCUCUCUGGGAUAACAGUUGGAAACGGCUGCGAAUACCGGAUAGUGGGGGAUGACUCGCGUCCUAUCAGCUUGUUGGGGGGGUAGUGGACUACCAAGGCGACGACGGGUAGCAGGCCUGGGAGGGCGACAGGCCACAGUGGGCUGAGAUACGGCCAAAACUGCUACGGGAGGCAGCAGUGGAGAAUAUUGCACAAUAGGGAAAACCCUGAGGCAGCAACGCGCGUGCGUGAUGACGGCCUUCGGUUUGUAAACCGCGUUCAGCCAGGACGCGGUAGUGGCAGAAGAAGCACCGGCUAACUACGUGCCAGCAGCCGCGGUAAUAC
rnacentral:rRNA from 1 species